AAAUUGAAGAGUUUGAUCAUGGCUCAGAUUGAACGCUGGCGGCAGGCCUAACACAUGCAAGUCGAACGGUAGCACAGAGAGCUUGCUCUCGGGUGACGAGUGGCGGACGGGUGAGUAAUGUCUGGGAAACUGCCUGAUGGAGGGGGAUAACUACUGGAAACGGUAGCUAAUACCGCAUAACGUCGCAAGACCAAAGAGGGGGACCUUCGGGCCUCUUGCCAUCAGAUGUGCCCAGAUGGGAUUAGCUAGUAGGUGGGGUAACGGCUCACCUAGGCGACGAUCCCUAGCUGGUCUGAGAGGAUGACCAGCCACACUGGAACUGAGACACGGUCCAGACUCCUACGGGAGGCAGCAGUGGGGAAUAUUGCACAAUGGGCGCAAGCCUGAUGCAGCCAUGCCGCGUGUAUGAAGAAGGCCUUCGGGUUGUAAAGUACUUUCAGCGGGGAGGAAGGUGUUGUGGUUAAUAACCACAGCAAUUGACGUUACCCGCAGAAGAAGCACCGGCUAACUCCGUGCCAGCAGCCGCGGUAAUACGGAGGGUGCAAGCGUUAAUCGGAAUUACUGGGCGUAAAGCGCACGCAGGCGGUCUGUCAAGUCGGAUGUGAAAUCCCCGGGCUCAACCUGGGAACUGCAUUCGAAACUGGCAGGCUAGAGUCUUGUAGAGGGGGGUAGAAUUCCAGGUGUAGCGGUGAAAUGCGUAGAGAUCUGGAGGAAUACCGGUGGCGAAGGCGGCCCCCUGGACAAAGACUGACGCUCAGGUGCGAAAGCGUGGGGAGCAAACAGGAUUAGAUACCCUGGUAGUCCACGCCGUAAACGAUGUCGACUUGGAGGUUGUGCCCUUGAGGCGUGGCUUCCGGAGCUAACGCGUUAAGUCGACCGCCUGGGGAGUACGGCCGCAAGGUUAAAACUCAAAUGAAUUGACGGGGGCCCGCACAAGCGGUGGAGCAUGUGGUUUAAUUCGAUGCAACGCGAAGAACCUUACCUACUCUUGACAUCCAGAGAACUUUCCAGAGAUGGAUUGGUGCCUUCGGGAACUCUGAGACAGGUGCUGCAUGGCUGUCGUCAGCUCGUGUUGUGAAAUGUUGGGUUAAGUCCCGCAACGAGCGCAACCCUUAUCCUUUGUUGCCAGCGGUUAGGCCGGGAACUCAAAGGAGACUGCCAGUGAUAAACUGGAGGAAGGUGGGGAUGACGUCAAGUCAUCAUGGCCCUUACGAGUAGGGCUACACACGUGCUACAAUGGCGCAUACAAAGAGAAGCGACCUCGCGAGAGCAAGCGGACCUCAUAAAGUGCGUCGUAGUCCGGAUUGGAGUCUGCAACUCGACUCCAUGAAGUCGGAAUCGCUAGUAAUCGUAGAUCAGAAUGCUACGGUGAAUACGUUCCCGGGCCUUGUACACACCGCCCGUCACACCAUGGGAGUGGGUUGCAAAAGAAGUAGGUAGCUUAACCUUCGGGAGGGCGCUUACCACUUUGUGAUUCAUGACUGGGGUGAAGUCGUAACAAGGUAACCGUAGGGGAACCUGCGGUUGGAUCACCUCCUUACCUUAAAGAA
rnacentral:rRNA from 3 species